CGAGCCGACCGGGCGGCCGCGGUACCUCGGGGAUCCCUGAGGAUCGAGGAACGUCCGGGCUCCACAGAGCAGGGCGGUGGCUAACGGCCACCCGGGGCGACCCGCGGGACAGUGCCACAGAGAACAGACAGCCGACCGGUUCGCCGGCCGGUGAUGGUGAAACGGUGGGGUAAGAGCCCACCAGCGCCGCAGGUGACUGCGACGGCUCGGCAAACCCCGCCCGGAGCAAGACCGCACAGCAGGCGCCCGAGGGCUGCUCGCCCGAGCCUGCGGGUAGGUCGCGUGAGACCGCCGGCGACGGCGGUCCAAGAUGGAUGGUCGCCACCGCCGGACCGGCAACGGACGGCGGCAACAGAACCCGGCGUACAGGUCGGCUCGUCCG
rnacentral:RNase_P_RNA from 1 species